rnacentral:tRNA from 1 species
GUAGACAUAGUUUAACUAAAACGUUGGAUUGUGAUUCCAAAAACGGGGGUUAAAAUCCCCUUGUUCACC